AACGAACGCUGGCGGCAGGCCUAACACAUGCAAGUCGAACGCUCUCUUCGGAGAGAGUGGCAGACGGGUGAGUAACGCGUGGGAACCUACCCAGGGGUUCGGAAUAACUCAGGGAAACUUGAGCUAAUACCGGAUACGCCUUGCGAGGGAAAGAUUUAUCGCCCCUGGACGGGCCCGCGUCGGAUUAGCUUGUUGGUGGGUAACGGCCCACCAAGGCGACGAUCCGUAGCUGGUCUGAGAGGAUGAUCAGCCACACUGGGACUGAGACACGGCCCAGACUCCUACGGGAGGCAGCAGUGGGGAAUCUUGCACAAUGGGCGCAAGCCUGAUGCAGCCAUGCCGCGUGAGUGAAGAAGGCCCUAGGGUUGUAAAACUCUUUCAGCGGGGAAGAUAAUGACGGUACCCGCAGAAGAAGCCCCGGCUAACUCCGUG
rnacentral:rRNA from 1 species